UACGUAGGGGGCAAGCGUUGUCCGGAUUUAUUGGGCGUAAAGCGCGUGUAGGCGGCCAGAUAGGUCUGCUGUGAAAACUCGAGGCUCAACCUCGAGCUGUCGGCGGAAACCAUCUGGCUAGAGUCCGGAAGAGGAGAGUGGAAUUCCUGGUGUAGCGGUGAAAUGCGCAGAUAUCAGGAGGAACACCAAUAGCGAAGGCAGCUCGCUGGGACGUUACUGACACUGAGGCGCGAAAGCGUGGGGAGCGAACAGG
rnacentral:rRNA from 1 species